GACGAACGCUGGCGGCGUGCUUAACACAUGCAAGUCGAACGGUAAGGCCCUUCGGGGUACACGAGUGGCGAACGGGUGAGUAACACGUGGGUGAUCUGCCCUGCACUUCGGGAUAAGCCUGGGAAACUGGGUCUAAUACCGGAUAGGACUCCUGGCUUCAUGGUUGGGGGUGGAAAGCUUUUGCGGUGUGGGAUGGGCCCGCGGCCUAUCAGCUUGUUGGUGGGGUAAUGGCCUACCAAGGGGACGACGGGUAGCCGGCCUGAGAGGGUGACCGGUCACACUGGGACUGAGAUACGGCCCAGACUCCUACGGGAGGCAGCAGUGGGGAAUAUUGCUCAAUGGGCGCAAGCCUGAUGCAGCGACGCCGCGUGAGGGAUGACGGCCUUCGGGUUGUAAACCUCUUUCAGCUAUGACGAAGCGCAAGUGACGGUAGUAGCAGAAGAAGGACCGGCCAACUACGUGCCAGCCGCCGCUGUAA
rnacentral:rRNA from 1 species